rnacentral:rRNA from 1 species
AGGACCGAUAGCGAACAAGUAGAGUGAUCGAAAGGUUAAAAGCACCUUGAAAAGGGAGUUAAACAGCACGUGAAAUUGUUGAAAGGGAAGCGCUUGCGGCCAGACUCGGGGGGCGGGGUUCAGCGGGCGCUCGUCGCCCGUGCACUGCCCGCUCCCCGGGCCAGCAUCAGCUUCGACGGCCGGUCAAAGGCCCCCGGAAUGUGUCGUCUCUAGGGACGUCUUAUAGCCGGGGGUGCAAUGCGGCCCGUCGAGACUGAGGAACGCGCUCCGGCUCGGAUGCUGGCGUAAUGGCCGUAAGCGGCCCGUCUUGAAACACGGACCAAG